rnacentral:rRNA from 1 species
UACUCUUGGCAGUCGAUCACUCAGCUUGUGUGUCAAUGAAGGACAUAGCUAGCUGCGAGAACUAAUGUGACUUGCAGGACACAAUGAUCAUUGACACUUUGAACUCACCUUGCAGCCCCAGGUACCUCCUGGGGCCAUGUCUGUCUGAGGGUCG